CCUACGGGAGGCAGCAGUGGGGAAUAUUGCACAAUGGGGGAAAUCCUGAUGCAGCGACGCCGCGUGAGUGAAGAAGUAAUUCGUUAUGUAAAGCUCUAUCAGCAGUGAAUUGACGGUACCUGCACAGGAAGCACCGGCUAACUCCGUGCCAGCAGCCGCGGUAAUACGGAGGGUGCGAGCGUUAAUCGGACUUACUGGGCGUAAAGCGCUCGUAGGCGGUAUGUCAAGUCAAGGGUGAAAUCCCCGCGCUCAACGUGGGACCUGCCUUUGAAACUGGCAGACUGGAGUGUGUGAGAGGAUAGUGGAAUUCCAGGUGUAGGAGUGAAAUGCGUAGAUAUCUGGAGGAACAUCAGUGGCGAAGGCGACUAUCUGGCACAUAACUGACGCUGAGGAGCGAAAGCGUGGGUAGCAAACAGGAUUAGAUACCCUAGUAGUC
rnacentral:rRNA from 1 species